rnacentral:rRNA from 1 species
AUAUGGUCGACCUGCAGGCGGCCGCGAAUUCACUAGUGAUUCGUAUUACCGCGGCUGCUGGCACGGAGUUAGCCGGAGCUUAUUCUCCCGGUACUGUCAUUAUCAUCCCGGGUAAAAGAGCUUUACGACCCUAAGGCCUUCAUCACUCACGCGGCAUUGCUGGAUCAGGCUUGCGCCCAUUGUCCAAUAUUCCCCACUGCUGCCUCCCGUAGGAGUCUGGGCCGUGUCUCAGUCCCAGUGUGGCUGAUCAUCCUCUCAGACCAGCUAAGGAUCGUCGGCUUGGUAGGCCUUUACCCCACCAACUACCUAAUCCUACGCGGGCUCAUCCCUGGCCGAUAAAUCUUUGGUCCGAAGACAUCAUCCGGUAUUAGCAGUCAUUUCUAACUGUUAUUCCGAAGCCAAGGGCAGAUUCCCACGCGUUACGCACCCGUGCGCCACUAACCCCGAAGGGUUCGUUCGACUUGCAUGUGUUAGGCAUGCCGCCAGCGUUCGUUCUGAGCCAGGAUCAAACUCUAAUCGAAUUCCCGCGGCCGCC